AGUAUUUUGACUAUACAAAGGUAUUGUAAUAAGACUUUAAUUGAGUGCUAAGAGAAUGGACUUUCAAAAAAAUUCUUUUUUAAAUUUAAAAAUUGAAGUUAUUUUUAUAUGUGAAGAAACAGUAAUAUAAAUUAAAGACAAGAAGACCCUAUGAAUUUUUAUAUAUUUUCAUAUAAAUAUUAUAUGAAAAUAUAUUUAAUUGGGGCGAUUAUAAAAUAUUACUAACUUUAAUUAAAAAUUAAUAUGAUCCAUUAUUAAUGAUUAAAUGAAAUAAAUACUCUAGGGAUAACAGCGUAAUAAUUUUAGAUAGAUCCUAUAGAAAAAAUAGUUUGCGACCUCGAUGUUGGAUUAGGAUUCUUAUUUAAUGAAGAAGUUAAGUUAAGAAGUUUGUUCAACUUUUAAAUUCCU
rnacentral:rRNA from 1 species